rnacentral:rRNA from 1 species
CACAUGCAAGUCGAGCGGCAGCGGGAAGUAGUUUACUACUUUGCCGGCGAGCGGCGGACGGGUGAGUAAUGUCUGGGAAACUGCCUGAUGGAGGGGGAUAACUACUGGAAACGGUAGCUAAUACCGCAUGACCUCGCAAGAGCAAAGUGGGGGACCUUCGGGCCUCACGCCAUCGGAUGUGCCCAGAUGGGAUUAGCUAGUAGGUGGGGUAAUGGCUCACCUAGGCGACGAUCCCUAGCUGGUCUGAGAGGAUGACCAGCCACACUGGAACUGAGACACGGUCCAGACUCCUACGGGAGGCAGCAGUGGGGAAUAUUGCACAAUGGGCGCAAGCCUGAUGCAGCCAUGCCGCGUGUGUGAAGAAGGCCUUCGGGUUGUAAAGCACUUUCAGCGAGGAGGAAGGGGUUGAGUUUAAUACGCUCAAUCAUUGACGUUACU